AUUGAACGCUGGCGGCAGGCCUAACACAUGCCAGUCGAACGGUAACAGGAAGAAGCUUGCUUCUUUGCUGACGAGUGGCGGACGGGUGAGUAAUGUCUGGGAAACUGCCUGAUGGAGGGGGAUAACUACUGGAAACGGUAGCUAAUACCGCAUAACGUCGCAAGACCAAAAAGGGGGACCUUCGGGCCUCUUGCCAUCGGAUGUGCCCAGAUGGGAUUAGCUAGUAGGUGGGGUAACGGCUCACCUAGGCGACGAUCCCUAGCUGGUCUGAGAGGAUGACCAGCCACACUGGAACUGACACACGGUCCAGACUCCUACGGGAGGCAGCAGUGGGGAAUAUUGCACAGUGGGCGCAAGCCUGAUGCAGCCAUGCCGCGUGUAUGAAGAAGGCCUUCGGGUUGUAAAGUACUUUCAGCGGGGAGGAAGGGAGUAAAGUUAAUACCUUUGCUCAUUGACGUUACCCGCAGAAGAAGCACCGGCUAACUCCGUG
rnacentral:rRNA from 1 species